GGAUCAAUGAUGACUUCCAUAUAUGCAUUCCUUGGAAAGGUAAACAAUAUGAGUGAAAACUAUACCAUCAUCCUCAUAAAACUGUGGUUU
rnacentral:snoRNA from 1 species